UCCGUGCCGGAGCUAACGCGUUAAGUGCGCCGCCUGGGGAGUACGGCCGCAAGGCUAAAACUCAAAGAAAUUGACGGGGGCCCGCACAAGCGGAGGAGCAUGUGGCUUAAUUCGAUGCAACGCGAAGAACCUUACCAGGGCUUGACAUGUAACUGCACCCUCCUCGAAAGGGGAGUUCCUUCGAGGGUGUUACACAGGUGCUGCAUGGCUGUCGUCAGUUCGUGUCGUGAGGUGUUGGGUUAAGUCCCGCAACGAACGCAACCCUUGUGUCUAGUUGCUACUCUCCAGCUUGCUGGAGACGCACUCUGGACAGACUGCCUGUACAAGCAGGAGGAAGGUGGGGAUGACGUCAAGUCCGUAUGGCCCUUACGCCCUGGGCUGCACACGUGCUACAAUGGCUGGAACAAUGGGAAGCAAUACCGCGAGGUGGAGCAAAUCCUCAAAUCCAGUCUCAGUUCGGAUUGGAGUCUGCAACUCGACUCCAUGAAGUCGGAUUCGCUAGUAAUGGCGCAUCAGCUACGGCGCCGUGAAUACGUUCCCGGGCCUUGUACACACCGCCCGUCACAUCAUGAAAGCCGUCUGCACCCGAAGUCGCUGCACCAACCCUCGUGGGGGGAGGCGCCGAAGGUGUGGGUGGUGAUUGGGAUGAAGUCGUAACAAGGUACCCG
rnacentral:rRNA from 1 species